rnacentral:lncRNA from 1 species
GGAGGCUGGCGGAGCUCGGCUCCCGACGCGCAGCGCAGCAGCAGCUUGGGGCCGCCGAAGCAGUAGCACUGGAAGGGGCAGGGUGCCGCGGGCUGGCUCAGCGCCGCCGCCACGAGCAGCAGCCCCUGGAGCCCCGGCUGUCCCGCGCGCGGGGCCAUCGCGGCCGCCCCCGCAUCCAGCGCCCGGGCCGCCGCGCUCACCAAACUGGGAAGCUCUAAACCUGAUUUAAAGAGACAGGCUCCUGAGAAGGGAGGAUUCCUGGCCUUAGCAUGAAUUAUUCAGGCUGGAGAGGCUGACACUUGAUCCGCAGGCCAUUCGGGUAUCAGCAGAGCUGGUUGGAAUAGAGGCUCCCCACCUCCUCCCAAGAAUCAGUCUCUUUCUCCUGAAUUGGGUACGGUUGUUAUGUUGACUCCUUCCCUGAGGUUAUAUUUAACAGAUCGACCAAAGGAUCAAUACCACUUAAGGAGAAGAGGCAGACCCUGCAGUGGCCUGGGUCUUGGGCAAGGACCAACAUUAAGGAACAGAGCUGGUGAUGAUGGGGGUCUCCCAGCUCUCCCCUCCUCCAAGCCCCUCUCUCUUCCCUACCCCCUGUCUUAACUCUCCCAGGUAUGAGAGCUCAGAUGUGUCUCAUGCAAGUCCAUGCAGACUCAUUCAUAUGUGGACAUAGGAUCGUAGGUUUGAGUGCGUCCUGGCAUGUGUCCAUAAAUUCAUAAAGACAUACAUAUUUGAAUAUGCACACUUCUGAGCCCAUGCAGGUUCGUGGAUACAUUCUCAGAGGGCAAGCUUACAGGCCCAUGCUUAAGCCAUGCCAAGCAUAGGGACCCAGCGAUUGGCUAGCACAGUCAGACCCUACUCCUCCUGCCCUGCACCAUGCCCUUGGUCUGUGGAGGUAACAGGCUGGUGAUGUCUUUUCUCACAUGGGCACACGUGCUCAAGUAGAUGCCACUGGGGCUGGGCCCCCAGCUAUAGCCCUCCCCUAAACCCCGGCCCACACAGCAACAUGCCCCAGCUCUGACAUCUCCCCUGGUAGGAGGCACUAGGUCGUUUUCACUUUUCUGUUUCCAGUAUAGAGACUAUCUCAGGAGAGUGUGUGGUGCAAAUGACAGACUGAAUGAACAGAAGUCUCUGUUUCCUUGUCUGCUUCCAGGCCCUGAGGAAUCAGACCACUACCAAGGCUGGAACUCCUUCCCCAGGCCCCGGUGGUGGCUGGCCUCAGAUUGGCUGAUGCCCCCCUCCCCUGCUGCCCCCCAGGAAAGGAGCUGCAGGACCACAGGCAGCCUUGAUUGGGGGGGUGCUCAACACCUCAUUUGGGGAAAUGAGGCCUGGAGAGAAUUUAGAAUCAUCAGGUGCCAGAGAAUAAGGCAAAUGUCGUCUGUUUUGCACAAAUGGGGAAAUAGGCCAGAGGGGCCCCAAGGCCCCUGUCAAGUUUUCAGAGUUUAGCCUAGAAACCUGACCCCAGGGUCCUUGCCCAGGACUCUGUCCAAGAUGGUGGGCUGCAUCUGAGAGGGUCCUGCACCACAAGGAAUGCUUAUCCUGACCCCAAGAAGCUGAGGCUGGGAAUGGAUGCCAUGGUUGAUCUGGUGUGACCUCAGGCCUUUCUCAAUCUUGGGCUGUCACCUUCCUCUUCUAUAAGGUAGAUAGGCUUUAAAUUCCUGUUCUUCCUAUUCCUCUCAGGGCUGUUAUGAUAAAGUGAGUUGAAAGUGCCUCAAAACAAGAAAAAACAUUUCACCUGGGUCUGGGGGCCUAGCACCCGUCCUGCCAGACCCUGGGUAAGGCAUUGCCCCUCUCUGGGACUAAUUAGCUCCCAUGUCAUUUUUCCCUGUUCCAUGUUCUUUCCUUCUCCAACACAGCAGAUUUGUGGUGGAUGUUAAUGAGUCUCUGCUUGUCUCUCUGUAUGGCCUCUACUCAGCCUCCUCUCCUCUCUUCCCACUUUGUAAAGGUGCUUCCCGUCUAAAUUCUCCUGGAACCAAUUUCUCUCUGUCCAAGUUCCCCAAGGAAUCAAGUCUGCGAGCCAUUGGGGCUGAGGGAUCUCUGUUCUUUGGAGGAACAGCGCUCUCCAUCUUAGAUUUGCCAGUGUUCAGUAUGCAUUAAGUGUUCAAUAAAUGUGUGUCCACUUGAGUCUGAGGCUGUGUGUUUAUUCUCUGAUGCAUCUGGUGGAAGUCUCUUUUCUUGGACUGUUUGCCCCAGCUGGGGUGCUCUCCUCUUGAUUCUGUUUCUCCAGUCCAGUCAGCUGUCCCUCAGGACUUGUGAGUUUUGCCCCCUUCAGGGAGCCCUCAUGGCUUCCCUCUCCAUCCUUUGAACUUCACUGAUCAAUUAGAGGGCUAAGACUCCCCUGAUCUUCUUGACUGUCAGCAGCUAGGGCUCAGGUCUGGUCUAAUUUCUUAGGGAUCAGUACAGAGAAGGCACCAGGGAAUAUUUGCUGACUGAAAUAAUGAUUUAAAAAUCUGUGACUCGAGCCUCUCAUCCCUAUGAGGCAAGCUCGGUGAGGACCCCUCAUCUACACUUCAUACCAGGAGAUAGCUGCUCAGAAAUGUUAAGUGCUUUCCCCAAGGUUGCACACCUGACUGGGACCUGAGCCAGAUAGAAGCUCGGGUUUCUUGCCCAUCUCCUUUGCCGCAGCCCCCCCUCAUCCUAGGAUCCCUCUCUCCUGGGAGUGUGGCUGGGUCAGAUCCCAGGGGAGCCUGUGGGCAAAGAGCUCACGCCCUCAGGGUUUCCUUAGGACUCGGAAGAAGCGAGGCACCCCUCGCCACCCAAGCAGAGUGAUCAUCUGCCCUUUGCCCAGAUGAGUACCCCUCAUGUCAGCCACACUGGAUCUUCACGCUUGCUUGAAUUUAUUACUCCACUAGGUCCCAGAGCCCUUCUCUUAGUAUUCCAAGGUGUUGUCUCUACCUGAGCCUCUAGUGCCUUCGCUGGGCCUUUUCUGCUGGCACAGACCCUGCUGUUGAUCAGCUCCACUAAGCCUUGGUAGGGAGCACAGAGUGUGAUGACGUCCCUGAGAUCACCCAGCAGGUAGCCCCUUCUCCAGCUCUGUUUUGUCAUCAGAGGUGUGUCAAUAUUAUUAAAGUCCUUGGACACACCUCAGUUUCCCUGUCUGCAAAAAAGUGUGUGUGGAUGGGAUGGUCCUGGGGGGCCUAGUAGUCUUGUGCCCCUUGGCAUUUUAGGGAUGGGGGUCAGGGAGGGGAAGGUCAUACUGGGAUUUGCCCAAGUUGGUGCCCCCACCUUCUCAAUAUAUGACCUUGAACUUGGUACCACCCCAAUUAAGGCCUUGGUUGCCCGACUAGAAAGUGGUAGGGGUGGCUGGGUGUGGUGCCUCAUGCCUGUAAUCCCAGAACUUUGGGAGGCCGAGGUGGGCAGAUCACAAGGUCAGGAGAUUGAGGCCAUCCUGGCGAACAUGGUGAAACCCCGUCUCUACUAAAAAUACAAAAAAGAAUUAGCCGGGCGUGGUGGUGGGCACCUGUAGUCCCAGCUACUCAGGGGGGCUGAGGAAGAAAGUGGUAGGGGUGGUCUGGGGUCCUUCUGGAGCGGAUGCUGUAGCAUCCUGAGAUCCAGGCUCCCUUUGUCCUCUGUCCCAGCAGCCCUCCUGCUGCCUUCCCAUCCCUCUGUUCCCCCCUCCUCCAAGGCAAAUGGAGGAGCAGCAGGCGGCCUGACGUGAUGAACUCAGCCACGAGGUAGUGGGGGAGGCCCCAGCUUCUCUCCUCUUGCUUGGCUUCCUUGCCAGCAGGGACGGGAGACUUCACUGUGGGCCUUGCCAUUCCCAUUUCUCACUCCCCCUCCCCUCCCCCACUGCUGUGAGACACAGGAAAAUCCAUAGGCCCAAGAUUCAUUUUCUCCGUUGAGUCAGCAGAGGCCAGCGCUGCUUCUGAGGGGCAGGCAACUGGCUUUUAAAUAACUCUCUGAUAUUUAAUACCCUCCUCCUCCGCUCUGUGGCCUGGGCCUCUGGGGAAAGGCUAGAAUAAAUGAGCUGGAUGCGUCCUCCGAAAGUCCUAAAUGUUCUUACCCCCACCUCAGUCUUCCCCCCAACCCCCAACUCUCAGACCAUUGGAAAAGAUGACUCCUUACUACAUCUGUACCUUGCUUUACAGUUUCUAAGUGGUGGCAGGCUGGGUUUGUUGUCCCAGUUUAGAAUGGGAAAUGGACAUUUAGAAAAGGAGAGAGAUCCCACUUGACUUUUGGUCUUUGUCUGCUGUUGGCUGGCUGUGUGGCUGUGGGCAGGUGGGUCCCUGUCCCUCCCUGGGCUUCUGUUUCCUCAUCUGUGCUGCAAGGUGGUUCGGCCAGUGGGUUGUUGUUGGUCCCCCUUGGCUGUGUAAUGUUAUGAUUUGCUGUGCUGGCCUAGGUCUCCUUCCCUAAUGAAGCCUCUGUUUCUCCACUCCUCUUCAAGGAAAGGCUAAAGGGCAGAGCCGACUGAGGCUAAAGGCCAGCUAAGGUCUGACCCCUAGGAUUCCACUCUGUUGAGUCAGGGACAGGAGUGGGUAGGGGAGAGGGGAAAGGGAAAGGAGCAGAGUUGGGUGCCUUCCCUUCCCUUCCCUUGUCUUCCCUUCCCUCCCCUCCACUCCCCUCCCCUUUCAUUAUUUCUUGCUUUUGCCAGUAGAGGUUGGGACAGACCAAGGGCAAUAACCUGUCUUGGUUCUCUUAAAACCCAAGGUCUCUACCACUGUGGAUGCAGUUUAAUGAGGUGGGAGCAAAACCCUCUUCCUCAGCUGUGCCCAGGCCCAGGAUCCUGAUCAUGGAAGUUAGUGGGCCCAGUUCUCCUGGUUUUGCCACUGUUCUGCAUUAUUCAGAAGACAGGGAUUGAUAUCUCUGUUGGCUAUAUGAGAACACUGGGAGGUUAAGAGCUGUGCUUGGGGUCAUCCCAGAUUAAUGAUGGAACAGGGCCUAUAAUCUAGGUUUUCUGAUUCCCAACUCCGUGUUCAUGCCACUUCCCUGAUUCAGGCAGGAAGUUGGGGCCUGAGGGGUGAGCAUGGGAGAGGCAGCUGGUUCUGUAGGGGUGACCUUUGUUUGCCCAACUUCUUUAGCCUCCUCUUGGGUCCUCAUGCUCUUCUUCAAUGUACUGAGCCUUCUGCUUCUAGAAUCACAGAAUCUUGGAAUCAAAACAUUGACUGCUAAGAACCACAGACUCAGAGAGCCAUAGAACUGUGGUCUCUGAAUUAGAACAAAGACUUAUGGUAUUGGUAGUAUGGUGGUGGUGAAUGAGACACUUAGAGCUUGUGGUAGGUUGUUAAUAUUGAUGGUCCCAAAUGAAUUCUGCGUAUCUGAGUCCAUACUUUUAUGUUGUCCCACCCCAUACUGACUUUGGGUUGGCCGUGUGACUUCCUCUGGUUAAUGAGACGUCAGCAAAUGUGAUGCAAGGAGAGUCUUAAAAAGUGCUUGUGCAUUGGGAUUCACCUCUUCUUGCUCCCCUGAAACUGCCAUGUGUAGGAACACAAGCAUGCCUUUUAGAGGAAGAGACCAGAAGUAAACCAUCCCAGCUGGAGAUGAACCAGCUCCCUGAUGGUCUUCCGCCUGCCUCCAGCCACCUGAGUGACCCCAGAUAAGACCAACAGAACUACUCAGCUGACCCGAGCCCAAAUUUCUGACUCACAGAAUUGUGAACAAAUAAAAUGGUGGUUGUUUUAAGUCACUAAGUUUUGGGGUGGUUUGUUACACAGCAGUAGAUAACGGAUGCAGAACCUCAUCAUUGUAGAAUCUUGGUCAUAGAUCCAAUAUGCCCUGACAGUCACAGCAUCGUGGAACCCCAGGACCAGAAACUGGAACCACUGAUGUAGAAUCCAAGAAACAGAAGAGUCCUGAAAACGCCUUAACUCCCACCCAAUGGUACCCUCUCCUUUCACUGUCAGACCAGGUGACCACUCAUCUUUCAACGUUGAGCCCUCUCCCCACCCACAGGUGUCUCUUAUUCUUUAGCGUUG